rnacentral:misc_RNA from 1 species
GUAACUGCGACCCAUCAUCACUCGAACGAAGUCACGUGACAAAAUACUUGGCCAACUAUCGCCCAUCACUAGCCGAGGCUGACUGUAAAAGCGCUGAACAACCAUCGGAUUUCUAGAAAAUUCCGAAUAUUCGAAUAGCUCAAGUAAAAACUAUCAACUGCCAACAAACAUAAAAGAAGCCAGCGCCAGCCGCAACGAGUGAAUGCAAAUCUGAGCCAAUAAGAGCACGAGGAGCAACUAGCGAGUCAUGGCCAAGUGGGGAGAAGGCGAUCCACGCUGGAUUGUUGAGGAGCGACCAGAUGCGACCAAUGUGAACAACUGGCACUGGACCGAAAAGAAUGCGACGCCCUGGUCCAAGGAGCGACUCCAGCAGCUCUUCCAGGACUUUAAAAUAGAACAAAACGACAUGGAGUGCGUUGUGGAGUCGCUGGAGAAGUGCAACGGCGAGGCGACCGUCAACAAUCGCAAAGGCAAACUGAUCUUCUUUUAUGAAUGGGAGCUGGUGCUGAAGUGGACGGGGCGUAUGCUGAAGAACAGUGCGCUGAGCCACAAGGGAAAGCUGACCAUACCCAAUCUGUCCGAGGAGAACAGUCUCGAGGAUGUCGAACUGACGGUGACCAUUGACGAAUCGAACGACGAGUCGGAGACACUCAAACAAUUCAUGUACAAUGUGGGCAGGGAACGUGUGCGCAAACAGCUGGGCGUCUAUAUCAAGGAGCUGAAGGAGGAAUACUCCAAGAACUUGAUACUACCAAAGAAGGGCAGCGAUGCGGCCGCCGAUGCCAAGGACGCCAACAAUGCCAAGAAUGCCGCCCAAAAGGCACAGGCAACAAUUAAAACAGCAGCAACAAAAUCAACAGCGAAUACAAAUACAAAUAGUAGCUCGGCAGGCGUUGGUGCUGGCGUUGGCUGCAAGCUGGAUGUGCGCACCCUCUCCAUGACCGAGGAGUUCCAUUGCAAUGCCAAUGAUCUCUACAAUGCCCUGACAAAGGCCGACAUGCUCACCGCAUUUACACGUGCCCCAGCCAAAGCGGACGCAGUUCGUGGCGGCGAAUUUGUGCUGUAUGGCGGCAAUGUGCUGGGCAAGUUUGAGGAGUUGGUGCCGGAGAAGCGAAUCCAGCAGAGUUGGCGUCUGAAAAACUGGUCAUCUGGUCACUAUUCGAAUGUCACCAUCGAACUGGAGGAAACUUCAUCCAGCACGAUGAUGACGCUGAAGCAGACCGGCAUUCCCGCCUCCGAAUACGAUGCGAUGAGAACAAACUGGCAUCGAUACUACUGGCAUAGCAUCAAGCAAACCUUUGGAUUUGGCACCUCCAUUUCCGGUGCCUUAUAAGCUUCCGCCCCGCCCCGCCCCCCUCGUAAACCUCUCCGGUCACAUGGACGCUAUUCAACGCUUGGCUGAAAUUCGGCCCGCUUAUUAUCAAUCGAGGAGGAGUUCCAAUUUGACAGUGCUGCAAAUUUGAUUUUCACCACCUUUAGCUAUAAAUGAAGCAGAUGUACACUGUUGGAUAGCAGAAGAAGCAGCGGAAGGAGCAGUAGCAGCAGCAGCAGCAGCAGCAUUAAUCACAAUAUUCACCACGACAUCAGCAACAGCAAAUCAGGUCAUUUAGUCAUAAUGAAGCAUUGAUUCACUCAUUACAAAUGGCGAAAUAAACGAAAAAAUUAAUGUU